rnacentral:rRNA from 1 species
GACGAACGCUGGCGGCGUGCCUAAUACAUGCAAGUUGAGCGCUGAAGGUUGGUACUUGUACCGACUGGAUGAGCAGCGCACGGGUGAGUAACGCGUGGGGAAUCUGCCUUUGAGCGGGGGACAACAUUUGGAAACGAAUGCUAAUACCGCAUAAAAACUUUAAACACAAGUUUUAAGUUUGAAAGAUGCAAUUGCAUCACUCAAAGAUGAUCCCGCGUUGUAUUAGCUAGUUGGUGAGGUAAAGGCUCACCAAGGCGAUGAUACAUAGCCGACCUGAGAGGGUGAGCGGCCACAUUGGGACUGAGACACGGCCCAAACGCCUACGGGAGGCAGCAGUAGGGAAUCGUCGGCAAUGGACGAAAGUCUGACCGAGCAACGCCGCGUGAGUGAAGAAGGGUUUCGGAUCGGAAAACUCGGUUGGUAGAGAAGAACGUUGGUGAGAGUGGAAAGCUCAUCAAGUGACGGUAACUACCCAGAAAGGGACGGCUAACUACGUG